rnacentral:lncRNA from 1 species
CAAAACUAUAUGUGUGUUUUACUCUAUUUUAACAGUAACUAGAUUUUGACCCGCGCUUCGCUUCAAAAGCGCGGUUUUUUUUUGGAUUUUAGACAAAGUGUAUGAAUAUAUUUUGGGUAUUUUUGGAUCUUCGGAUAUUUUUUUCAAGUUUCAAAUUAUUUUUCAGGUUUUUGGAUACUUCUAAUCUUUUCAAAUGUUGAAUAUCUGAACCGAGCUAGACCUAUUACGUAC